AGUGAACGCUGGCGGUAGGCCUAACACAUGCAAGUCGAACGGCAGCACAGGAGAGCUUGCUCUCUGGGUGGCGAGUGGCGGACGGGUGAGGAAUACAUCGGAAUCUACCUUUUCGUGGGGGAUAACGUAGGGAAACUUACGCUAAUACCGCAUACGACCUUCGGGUGAAAGCAGGGGACCUUCGGGCCUUGCGCGGAUAGAUGAGCCGAUGCCGGAUUAGCUAGUUGGCGGGGUAAAGGCCCACCAAGGCGACGAUCCGUAGCUGGUCUGAGAGGAUGAUCAGCAACACUGGAACGGAGACACGGUCCAGACUCCUACGGGAGGCAGCAGUGGGGAAUAUUGGACAAUGGGCGCAAGCCUGAUCCAGCCAUACCGCGUGGGUGAAGAAGGCCUUCGGGUUGUAAAGCCCUUUUGUUGGGAAAGAAAAGCAGCCAGUUAACACCUGGUUGUUCUGACGGUACCCAAAGAAUAAGCACCGGCUAACUUCGUGCCAGCCGCCGCAGUAA
rnacentral:rRNA from 1 species